rnacentral:sRNA from 1 species
CUUCUAAAGAAUCUUCAUGCUCUGUUGAAGAGGAUGACUUUUCCAGACUAAUAGAGGACCUCUCUGCAGUAAAGGGUACAGGAGCAGCUCAGCUCCCCUAGUAGAAUUUCUAAAAGUACUCGCUAGGUCCAAACUAUACUUUAAAUCAAUUGGUAUUUAAGG